rnacentral:rRNA from 1 species
UACGAAGGGGGCUAGCGUUGCUCGGAAUCACUGGGCGUAAAGGGCGCGUAGGCGGCCAUUCAAGUCGGGGGUGAAAGCCUGUGGCUCAACCACAGAAUUGCCUUCGAUACUGUUUGGCUUGAGUCUGGUAGAGGUUGGUGGAACUGCGAGUGUAGAGGUGAAAUUCGUAGAUAUUCGCAAGAACACCGGUGGCGAAGGCGGCCAACUGGACCAGUACUGACGCUGAGGCGCGAAAGCGUGGGGAGCAAACAGG